AAACCAACAGGGAUUGCCCUAGUAACGGCGAGUGAAGCGGCAACAGCUCAAAUUUGAAAUCUGGCCCUCGGGUCCGAGUUGUAAUUUGUAGAGGAUGCUUUUGGUGAGGUACCUUCCGAGUUCCCUGGAACGGGACGCCAUAGAGGAUGAGAGCCCCGUCUGGUCGGAUACCAAUCCUCUGUAAAGCUCCUUCGACGAGUCGAGUAGUUUGGGAAUGCUGCUCUAAAUGGGAGGUAUAUGUCUUCUAAAGCUAAAUAUUGGCCAGAGACCGAUAGCGCACAAGUAGAGUGAUCGAAAGAUGAAAAGCACUUUGAAAAGAGGGUUAAACAGUACGUGAAAUUGUUGAAAGGGAAGCGCUUGUGACCAGACUUGGGCCCGGUUAAUCAUCCAGCGUUCUCGCUGGUGCACUUGGCCGGCCCAGGCCAGCAUCAGUUCGGUGUGGGGGAUAAAGGCGGCGGGAAUGUGGCUCCUCCGGGAGUGUUAUAGCCCACCGUGUAAUACCCUGUGCUGUACUGAGGUUCGCGCAUUCGCAAGGAUGCUGGCGUAAUGGUCAUUAGCGACCCGUCUUGAAACACGGACCAAGGAGUCGUCUUCGUAUGCGAGUGUUCGGGUGUUAAACCCCUACGCGUAAUGAAAGUGAACGCAGGUGAGAGCUUCGGCGCAUCAUCGACCGAUCCUGAUGUUCUCGGAUGGAUUUGAGUAAGAGCAUACGGGGCCGGACCCGAAAGAAGGUGAACUAUGCCUGUAUAGGGUGAAGCCAGAGGAAACUCUGGUGGAGGCUCGCAGCGGUUCUGACGUGCAAAUCGAUCGUCAAAUAUGGGCAUGGGGGCGAAAGACUAAUC
rnacentral:rRNA from 1 species